GCAGCAGCCGCGGGAAUACGGAGGGUGCAAGCGUUAAUCGGAAUUACUGGGCGUAAAGGGAGCGUAGGCGGCGUGGUAAGUCAGAUGUGAAAUCCCGGGGCUCAACCCCGGAACUGCAUCCGAUACUGCCGUGCUAGAGGAUUGGAGAGGUAGCUGGAAUUCUUGGUGUAGCAGUGAAAUGCGUGGAGAUCAAGAGGAACACUCGUGGCGAAAGCGAGCUACUGGACAAUAUCUGACGCUGAGGCUCGAAGGCCAGGGUAGCGAAAGGGAUUAGAUACCCGAGUAGUCCCUGUCUCUUAUAA
rnacentral:rRNA from 1 species